AUGUUAGCCGUAUGUGACAAAAAAUGUUUUAGCUUAGACACCACGUUACAUCGCUUAUAGCACCUUUAAUGACAUCAAAUACAAGCUAAUU